CUUCCAAAACUUCAGCCCCAAAGUUCAGCCCGAGCAGCCGAGAGAAAGAAAGAGAAAGAGCUUUCAGCGGAGAGCUGGAAGUGAUGGGAGGAGGGACCCAGGUUCGGGUCAGAGCCUCCACAGAAAACUUCUCUCAACUAAGCAGAGCUGUGUAUGUCAAGAACAAAGGAAAAACUGUAAGGAAGUCAUGAAGGAAGUUACUUGAAGGACUGCAAGAAACAUGACUGUGACAUACUGUCCCCAUAAGGCUGGCUGUUCUUGGACUAUGGCAGUGAGUCUGUAAACACUGAUUUUUCCCUUCAUAAAAUUAUGCUGUAUGUGGUCAAAA